rnacentral:rRNA from 1 species
AGUGAACGCUGGCGGUAUGCCUAACACAUGCAAGUCGAACGGCAGCACAGUAAGAGCUUGCUCUUACGGGUGGCGAGUGGCGGACGGGUGAGGCAUACAUCGGAAUCUACUUUUUCGUGGGGGAUAACGUAGGGAAACUUCCGCUAAUACCUCAUACGACCUACGGCUGAAAGCAGGGGAUCUUCGGACCUUGCCCGAUUCAAUUAGCCGAUGCCGGAUUAGCUAGUUGGCUGGGUAAAGGCCCACCAAGGCAACGAUCCGUAGCUGGUCUGAGAGGAUGAUCAGCCACACUGGAACUGAGACACGGUCCAGACUCCUACGGGAGGCAGCAGUGGGGAAUAUUGGACAAUGGGCGCAAGCCUGAUCCAGCCAUACCGCGUGAGUGAAGAAGGCCUUCGGGUUGUAAAGCCCUUUUGUUGGGAAAGAAAAGAAGCAGGUUAAUACCCCGCUGUUCUGACGGUACCCAAAGAAUAAGCACCGGCUAACUUCGUG